AAUAUUUUAAAAUGAUUAAAAUAAAAAUGUUAAAUGAAAAUUAAAUGGAAAAUAAAAUAAAAUAUGAAUUAAAUGCUAAAAAUGAUUUGAAAAAUGGUUAGAAAAUAAAAUCAAAUAGAAAAUAUUUUUAGAGUUUUUCUAUAAAAAUUGAGAAUUAAAAACAAUUAAGGAACUAUUUUUAAUAAUUUUUGAAAGAAAAAUGAAUUAAAAAAAAAUAAAAUCAAAAUUAAAACAAGCAAAAAAAAUUGAGCCAUUAGAUAUGAUUAUUAAAUU
rnacentral:lncRNA from 1 species